rnacentral:sRNA from 1 species
AUUUGUAGGUUUAAAUAUUAUACGUAUAAGGCGAUAGUUGCUUAUUUAAUAUGAUAUGAUUGCUUGUAAUGCCUCUAAUUGUGUUAAUCCUGUAAAACAAGGAGAAAAUUUGAUCUAUAGACAGAACUGAUAUUUUUGAGCAUUUUGUAAAUAUAAUCCUAAUACUGAUUAAUGAAAAAUUUUGAAUAAUUAAGUGGUAUU